GGUCUAUGAAACCGGACGCACGGGUGCGUAACACGUAUGCAACCUACCCUUUACAGGACUAUAGCUCGGGGAAACUCGAAUUAAUGCUCCAUGAAAUAGUUGAAUGGCAUCAUUUGAUUAUUAAAGCUGAGGUGGUAAAGGAUGGGCAUGCGUCUGAUUAGCUAGUUGGUAGUGUAACGGACUACCAAGGCGAUGAUCAGUAGGGGAACUGAGAGGUUGAUCCCCCACACUGGCACUGAGAUACGGGCCAGACUCCUACGGGAGGCAGCAGUAGGGAAUAUUGGUCAAUGGGUGAGAGCCUGAACCAGCCAUGCCGCGUGCAGGAAGACGGCCUUCUGGGUUGUAAACUGCUUUUGCCAGGGGCUAAAAAGUCCAUGCGUGGAAAAUUGAAAGUACCUGGUGAAUAAGCCACGGCUAACUACGUGCCAGCAGCCGCGGUAAUACGUAGGUGGCAGCGUUGUCCGGAUUUAUUGGGUUUAAAGGGUGCNUAGGCGGCUCUGUAAGUCAGUGCUGAAAUAUCCCGGCUUAACUGGGAGGGUGGCAUUGAUACUGUGGGGCUAGAGUACAGAUGAGGUANGCGGAAUUGACGUGUANCCGUGA
rnacentral:rRNA from 1 species